rnacentral:rRNA from 1 species
AUUGAACGCUGGCGGCAGGCCUAACACAUGCAAGUCGAGCGGAGCGGCGGACGGGGGAGUAAUGCCUAGGAAUCUGCCUGGUAGUGGGGGAUAACGUCCGGAAACGGGAGCUAAUACCGCAUACUCUAAGAUUAGCCUAGGUCGGAGUAGAUAGUUGGUGGGGUAAAGGCCUACCAGGGCGACGAUCCGGAACUGGUCUGAGAGGAGGAUCAGUCACACUGGAACUGAGACACGGUCCAGACUCCUACGGGAGGCAGCAGUGGGGAAUGUUGGACAAUGGGGUAAAGCCGGAUCCAGCCAUGCCGCGUGUGUGAAGAAGGCCUUCGGAUUGUAAAGCACUUUUAGCUGGGAGGCGGUACUAACAGAAUAAGCACCGGCUAACUUCGUGCCAGCAGCCGCGGUAAUUC